AGAGUGAACGCUGGCGGCAGGCCUAACACAUGCAAGUCGAACGGCAGCACAGAGGAGCUUGCUCCUUGGGUGGCGAGUGGCGGACGGGUGAGGAAUACAUCGGAAUCUGCCUUAUCGUGGGGGAUAACGUAGGGAAACUUACGCUAAUACCGCAUACGACCUACGGGUGAAAGCGGAGGACCUUCGGGCUUCGCGCGAUAAGAUGAGCCGAUGUCGGAUUAGCUAGUUGGCGGGGUAAAGGCCCACCAAGGCUACGAUCCGUAGCUGGUCUGAGAGGAUGAUCAGCCACACCGGAACUGAGACACGGUCCAGACUCCUACGGGAGCAGCAGUGGGAAUAUGGACAAUGGGCGCAAGCCUGAUCCAGCCAUGCCGCGUGUGUGAAGAAGGCCUUGGGUUGUAAAGCACUUUUGACCGGUAAAGAAAGCACUGGAUUAAUACCUGGUGUUAUAGACGGUAACCGGAAGAAUAAG
rnacentral:rRNA from 1 species